UGGGGAAUAUUGCACAAUGGGCGCAAGCCUGAUGCAGCCAUGUCGCGUGUAUGAAGAAGGCCUUCGGGUUGUAAAGUACUUUCAGCGAGGAGGAAGGCGUUGUGGUUAAUAACCGCAGCGAUUGACGUUACUCGCAGAAGAAGCACCGGCUAACUCCGUGCCAGCAGCCGCGGUAAUACGGAGGGUGCAAGCGUUAAUCGGAAUUACUGGGUGUAAAGCGCACUCAGGCGGUCUGUCAAGUCGGAUGUGAAAUCCCCGGGCUCAACCUGGGAACUGCAUCCGAAACUGGCAGGCUAGAGUCUUGUAGAGGGGGGUAGAAUUCCAGGUGUAGCGGUGAAAUGCGUAGAGAUCUGGAGGAAUACCGGUGGCGAAGGCGGCCCCCUGGACAAAGACUGACGCUCAGGUGCGAAAGCGUGGGGAGCAAACA
rnacentral:rRNA from 1 species